UACGUAGGGCGCAAGCGUUGUCCGGAAUUAUUGGGCGUAAAGAGCUCGUAGGCGGCCUGUUACGUCUGCUGUGAAAUCCCGGGGCUUAACCCCGGGCGUGCAGUGGAUACGGGCAGGCUGGAGGCAGGCAGGGGAGAACGGAAUUCCCGGUGUAGCGGUGAAAUGCGCAGAUAUCGGGAGGAACACCGGUGGCGAAGGCGGUUCUCUGGGCCUGUACUGACGCUGAGGGGCGAAAGCGUGGGGAGCGAACAGG
rnacentral:rRNA from 1 species